rnacentral:rRNA from 1 species
GUGCAAUGCGCGUGCCUAUACAUGCAGUCGAGCGGACAGAAGGGAGCUUGCUCCCGGAUGUUAGCGGCGGACGGGUGAGUAACACGUGGGUAACCUGCCUGUAAGACUGGGAUAACUCCGGGAAACCGGAGCUAAUACCGGAUAGUUCCUUGAACCGCAUGGUUCAAGGAUGAAAGACGGUUUCGGCUGUCACUUACAGAUGGACCCGCGGCGCAUUAGCUAGUUGGUGGGGUAAUGGCUCACCAAGGCGACGAUGCGUAGCCGACCUGAGAGGGUGAUCGGCCACACUGGRMCUCGAGUMCUAMGGCCCAGWYUCCUACGGGAGGCAGACAGUACGCGAUGAGAYCUUCUCCGCAWUGGACGAAWGUCUAGAACGAGAGCAAUCGCCGCGUGAGUGAUGAAGGUUUUCGGAUCGUAAWGCUCUGUUGUUARGGAAGAWCAAGUGCGAGAGUAACUGCUCGCACCUUGACCGGUACCUAACCAGAAAGSCACKGCUAASUACGUGCCAGCAGCCGCGGUAAUACGUAGGUGGCAAGCGUUGUCMGSAAUUAUUGGGCGUAAAGGGCUCGCAGGCGGUUUCUUAAGUMUGAUGUGAAAGCCCCCGGCUCAACCGGCGGAGGGUCAUUGGGAAACUGGGAAACUUGAGUGCAGAAGAGGAGAGUGGCACMUUCCACGUGUAGCGGUGAAAUGCGUAGAGAUGUGGAGGAACACCAGUGGCGACRGGCGACUCUCUGGUCUGUAACUGACGCUGAGGAGCGAAAGCGUGGGGAGCGAACAGGAUUAGAUACCCUGGUAGUCCACGCCGUAAACGAUGAGUGCUAAGUGUUAGGGGKUCUCCGCCCCUUAGUGCUGCAGCUAACGCAUUAAGCACUCCGCCUGGGGAGUACAGGUCGCAAGACUGAAACUCAWAGGARUUGACGGGGGGCCCGCACACMGCGGUGGAGCAUGUGGUUUAAUUCGWAGCAACGCGRAGAWCMUUACYAGGUCUKGACAUCMUCUGACAACCCUASAGAUAGGGCUKUSCCUUCGSGGACAGAGUGACAGGUGRUUGCAUGGUKGUCGUCAGCUCSUGUCGUGAGAUGUKGGGUUAAGUCUCCRCAWCRAGCGCAASCCUKGAUCUUAAGUUGCYACGCAKUCAGUUGKGCACUCURAGAGUGACUGSCGGUGRSAAACCGSAGGAASGUGGGRAUGAGCGUUCAAAUCACUCAUAGYCCGCUUAUGAAACACUGCUGGCUACGASACGUGCUACAAUGGACAGAACAAAGGGCUGCAAGACCGCAAGGUUUAGCCAAUCCCAUAAAUCUGUUCUCAGUUCGGAUCGCAGUCUGCAACUCGACUGCGUGAAGCUGGAAUCGCUAGUAAUCGCGGAUCAGCAUGCCGCGGUGAAUACGUUCCCGGGCCUUGUACACACCGCCCGUCACACCACGAGAGUUUGCAACACCCGAAGUCGGUGAGGUAACCUUUAUGGAGCCAGCCGCCGAAGUGGCAGAUUUU